CUUCGGGCUGAUAACUAGGCAAUGGUCUCAAUUUUUAUAAACUCCACGACCUUUGUCUUUUAAGUGUCCGAUAGAUCAUGUUUUGCGAGGAUCUUACACGUUCUCUGAAUUUUUUUAUUUUUCCAUGAAGUACAACGUUUAAUUCAUCGCAACAUAC
rnacentral:snoRNA from 1 species